AUACAUUAUUAAUGUGAGACUGUGGACGGCUCAGUAUAUCAGUUAUAAUCUGCUCGAUUGUGAAGGUUAUUGGAUAACCGUGGGAAAUCUAGAGCUAAUACAUGUCCGUUCGGAGUGCGGCGCAAGCUGUGUUUCGAUUGCAUUUAUUAGAGCGAUACCAACCAUGUGGCGCUUGCGUCAUGUGAGGUGAAUCUAGAUAACUGUGCUGAUCGUAUGGCCUUGAGCUGACGACGUUUCGAUUGAAUUUCUGCCCUAUCAACUUUGGUCGGCAGUGUAGUGGACUGCCGAGGUGAUAACGGGUAACGGGGGAUCAGGGUUCGAUUCCGGAGAGGGAGCCUGAGAAACGGCUACCACAUCCAAGGAAGGCAGCAGGCGCGCAAAUUACCCAAUCCAGACAAUGGGAGGUGGUGACGAAAAGUACCAAGUGACGGCCAUUGGUUGUCAGUUUGGAAUGAAAUCAAUUUAAGCAAUUGAGUUGAGCAACAACUGGAGGGCAAGUCUGGUGCCAGCAGCCGCGGUAAUUCCAGCUCCAGUAGCGUAUCUCAAAGUUGCUGCGCUUAAAACGCUCGUAGUUGGAUCACGCACCAUGUGUGGGUGAAUCGAGACUGUGGCGCCGUAUACUCUUCGUUCGGAUGGUGUGUUCUCAUGCCAUGCUGAAGUAGAGUUGGUGCGCAGACUCGAUCGUUAGCCUGCGUGUGGUAAUUGCACGUGAGGAUGGCCGUUGACCUUUAGUGCGUUGACGGUCGUGUCUCACGGGGUGGGCCUUGAGUAAAUCAGAGUGCUUAAAGCAGGCGUUGAGCUUGAAUGUUGAUAGCAUGGAACGAACAAUAGUGUAUGGUGUGUGCUGAAUACGGUGUAUAUUGCGUUCGCGUAGUAUACAUCUCAGUACACGACACCUACCACCAAUAACGGAUGUUGGUUCCGUAUUGGGGUACUGAUUAAGAGGAGCGGUUGGGGGCAUUGGUAUUUGGCAGCGAGAGGUGAAAUUCUUGGACCUGCCAAGGACUAACAAAUGCGAAGGCAUCUGUCCAGACCGUAUCCAUUAAUCAAGAACGAUAGUGAGAGGUUCGAAGACGAUCAGAUACCGUCCUAGUUCUCACCGUAAACUAUGCCGACCCGGGAUCAGUUUGGAGAUACAAUCCACGCUCGAGGUUGGUCCCCCUGGGAAACCUUAAGUCUUUCGGUUGCGGGGGGAGUAUGGUCGCAAGGCUGAAACUUAAAGGAAUUGACGGAAGGGCACCACCAGGGGUGGAGCCUGCGGCUUAAUUUGACUCAACACGGGAAAACUUACCUGGUCCGGACAUCGAAAGGAUAAACAGACCGAAAGAUCUUUUUUGAUACGGUGAAGAGUGGUGCAUGGCCGUUCUUAGUUCGUGGAGUAAUCUGUCUGGCUGAUUCCGGUAACGAACGAGACCACUUUCUCCAUUUGACGCGUCGAAGAAGGCUCUGGCCUCGUCGGUAGUCGGCAACGAUCACCAACUUGGUCGGUUCUGUAGGCAAAUCAAGCCGGUGACACGGAGACUUUGUGAUGGUGCUGGUAACAGUUUUCUGUCACAGGUUUAAGUGGUGUCCGACUUGAGUUCCCUUCGGCAGAGCAUUGCGUGAUUCGCAAGAGUCGCGUGGUGCAUCAUGGAGAGACAGCGGAGAAUAAAACAAAGUUCGAGGAAGUGUGGCAAUAACAGGUCUGUGAUGCCCUUAGAUGUUCAGGGCUGCACGCGCGCUACAAUGGCGGCGACAGCGAGUGUCUGGAUCGAAAGAUUUGGGUAACCUUGUAAUCGCCGCCGUGAUGGGGAUCGACGUUUGUAAUUACGUCGUGAAAGAGGAAUCCCUAGUACGUGCGAUUCAUUAAAUCGCGCGGAUUUAGUCCCUGCCCUUUGUACACACCGCCCGUCGCUACUACCGAGUGAAUGGUGUCAUAAUGCCUUGGGAGCGGACGUCUACUGGACCUCGUGUCCGGACAGA
rnacentral:rRNA from 1 species